rnacentral:lncRNA from 7 species
AUGGUUUCUGUGUAAUAGGUGCAAUCAAGCUAAUUCUGUCUGUAGCCAUGCAGGUGCUGAGAAAACCACUUCACUUCCAGUCAGUUGUAGGGCAUUAAAAGUUCAGAGCCAAGCUGUGGUAAAAUAGUACUCUAGGAAGGUAGAAAAAAGCUCUUAAUGUCUAAUGCCAGAAUCUGAGAGCGGAUGGUUUUAAUGAAGCUGAGAGAACUGACCUCGCUGCCAAGUAAUGAGAGCAAGCUAUCUCAGAGCAAACUUAAAAUUUGAAGUGGAGAAGCUUAUCUUCAGGAAGAGAGCAGGAGGCACUGGGGCAUCAGAGACUCCUGGAAGAAGAGAUUUUCGGGGAGAUGAACUCAUGCUUGAGCCCUCCACUCUGAGCUCCCAGCACUGUUACAGAGAUGUACAGAGAAUGGCUUUGUUAAAGAAGUGGCUAAGUGAAGUAGGAUUGCAUCAGUCUUGAAAACAGUUGAGGAGAAAAGACAGUUGUGGAGAUACGGAGAAAAUAUAAAAAUAAAGCAAAACGGACUGCCCUUCCCCUCCUCUCCCUCCAUCCCCCCCCCCCCCCAAAAAAAAAAAAGAAAAACAACCCAAAACAAGACAAAAACAAACCACUUUUGCACUAGAAUUCCUCCCAGGAGACACCAUAGCUUUUCAUGAAGCUGGAGCAUGCCAAAUUCUAGACUUCUGCUUAGACUGGCAAAACUCUUCAAAAUGAGCAGUUUUUCAUCUUCAGUGACAUUCUGUGGGUUAUUUGGCUUAUUCCCAUGUCCUUUUUCUGUCUCUUUAGAAGACUGUGGUGGUCCAGAUAAUUUAUUUCACAAUGCACAUACUUGGGCUGUGGGAUUCCAGGUGUGGAAAAAUUACUACAUCUACCUCGACUUUCCUAUUGACCAUACUCAUAGGAAAUUUGGGUAUUUCAUAAGCCUGUGGGUUCUUGUGACAAAUGAUUUACUAACAGACAGUCAGGUUUAUUGAUAGUUACCUCGUAUUUUAACUGCACGUUUGAAAUGCUUUAAGAACCUUUGGAAGUAAAGACCAUCAGAACCAUCAUAAUGAUGCUUUCAAAAGCUUUUAUUGAAUCAUUGCCUAAGAAUCUGAAACUUUGCGAUAAUGAAUCAUGUCCUGUUACAUUCUUGUCCCUUGUAAUGCAAUAAAGGGUGAUGUAUGUUGG